rnacentral:rRNA from 1 species
GACGAACGCUGGCGGCGUGCUUAACACAUGCAAGUCGAACGGAAAGGCCCUGCUUUUGUGGGUUGCUCGAGUGGCGAACGGGUGAGUAACACGUGAGUAACCUGCCCUUGACUUUGGGAUAACUUCAGGAAACUGGGGCUAAUACCGUAUAGGAGCUCCUGCUGCAUGGUGGGGGUUGGAAAGUUUCGGCGGUUGGGGAUGGACUCGCGGCUUAUCAGCUUGUUGGUGGGGUAGUGGCUUACCAAGGCUUUGACGGGUAGCCGGCCUGAGAGGGUGACCGGCCACAUUGGGACUGAGAUACGGCCCAGACUCCUACGGGAGGCAGCAGUGGGGAAUAUUGCACAAUGGGCGGAAGCCUGAUGCAGCAACGCCGCGUGCGGGAUGACGGCCUUCGGGUUGUAAACCGCUUUCGCCUGUGACGAAGCGUGAGUGACGGUAAUGGGUAAAGAAGCACCGGCUAACUACGUG